rnacentral:misc_RNA from 1 species
CCGAAUUGUCAACAAGGGUUGUUGCUGGCCCCUGUAUGGGGGCAUGUGCACGCUCUGUUUACACAUCCACUCACACCUGUGCACCCUCUGUAGUUCUAUGGCCUGGGGGGCCCUGUCCUCCUGCUGUGGUUCUACGUCUUUACACACACACCGAAAUGAAGUCUAAUGGAAUGUAUGUCGCGUUUAACGCAAUGGAAUA